rnacentral:rRNA from 1 species
CCUACGGGUGACAGCAGUGGGGAAUAUUGCACAAUGGUGGAAACCCUGAUGCAGCGACGCCGCGUGAGUGAGGAAGGAUUUCGGUAUGUAAAGCUCUAUCAGCAGGGAAGAAGAAAGACGGUACCUGACUAAGAAGCCCCGGCUAACUACGUACCAGCAGCCUCGGUAAUACGUAGGAGCAGGCGUUAUCCGGAUUUACUGGGUGUAAAGGGGGCGUAGACGGCUGUGCAAGUCUGCAGUGAAAGCCCAGGGCUCAACCCUGGGACUGCUGUGGAAACCGUGGAGCUAGAGUGCUGGAGAGGUAAGUGGAAUGCCGAGUGUAGCGGUGAAAUGCGUAGAUAUUAGGAGGAACACCAGUGGCGAAGGCGGCAUACUGGACAGUAACUGACGUUGAGGCUCGAAAGCGUGGGGAGCAAACAGGAUUAGAUACCCUAGUAGUC